UCUUUUAGCAGCUCGCACUCUUCCCCUGUUUAUUUUACAGUGUGUUAUUGCAACUUGAAAUCUUUGGCUUGUUUGAUUGCUUCCUCCACCCACAGUUGAGCGUCUUGUAUUCACACAAUCACUGUUGUUAUUAUCUAGUUGAUGCUGGAUACACAAAUUGUGAGGGAUUUCUUGCACCUUUUAGAGGACAACGAUAUCAUUUGAAUGAGUGGCGUCAAGGUUAUCAGCCAAGUACUCCGGAA